AAUGAACGCUGGCGGCAUGCCUAACACAUGCAAGUCGAACGAGACCUUCGGGUCUAGUGGCGCACGGGUGCGUAACGCGUGGGAAUCUGCCCUUGGGUUCGGAAUAACUCAGAGAAAUUUGAGCUAAUACCGGAUGAUGUCGUAAGACCAAAGAUUUAUCGCCCAAGGAUGAGCCCGCGUAGGAUUAGCUAGUUGGCGGGGUAAAGGCCCACCAAGGCGACGAUCCUUAGCUGGUCUGAGAGGAUGAUCAGCCACACUGGGACUGAGACACGGCCCAGACUCCUACGGGAGGCAGCAGUGGGGAAUAUUGGACAAUGGGCGAAAGCCUGAUCCAGCAAUGCCGCGUGAGUGAUGAAGGCCUUAGGGUUGUAAAGCUCUUUUACCCGGGAUGAUAAUGACAGUACCGGGAGAAUAAGCUCCGGCUAACUUCGUGCCAGCAGCCGCAGUAAUAC
rnacentral:rRNA from 1 species